rnacentral:rRNA from 1 species
UGGGGAAUAUUGCACAAUGGGCGCAAGCCUGAUGCAGCCAUGCCGCGUGUGUGAAGAAGGCCUUCGGGUUGUAAAGCACUUUCAGCGGGGAGGAAGGCGAUAAGGUUAAUAACCUUGUCGAUUGACGUUACCCGCAGAAGAAGCACCGGCUAACUCCGUGCCAGCAGCCGCGGUAAUACGGAGGGUGCAAGCGUUAAUCGGAAUUACUGGGCGUAAAGCGCACGCAGGCGGUCUGUCAAGUCGGAUGUGAAAUCCCCGGGCUCAACCUGGGAACUGCAUUCGAAACUGGCAGGCUAGAGUCUUGUAGAGGGGGGUAGAAUUCCAGGUGUAGCGGUGAAAUGCGUAGAGAUCUGGAGGAAUACCGGUGGCGAAGGCGGCCCCCUGGACAAAGACUAACGCUCAGGUGCGAAAGCGUGGGGAGCAAACAGG